UACAGAGGGUGCAAGCGUUGUUCGGAAUUACUGGGCGUAAAGCGCGCGUAGGCGGCUUUGUAAGUUAGAGGUGAAAGCCCGGAGCUCAACUCCGGAACUGCCUUUAAGACUGCAUCGCUAGAACGAUGGAGAGGUAAGUGGAAUUCCGAGUGUAGAGGUGAAAUUCGUAGAUAUUCGGAAGAACACCAGUGGCGAAGGCGACUUACUGGACAUCUGUUGACGCUGAGGUGCGAAAGCGUGGGGAGCAAACAGG
rnacentral:rRNA from 1 species